CAAAGUCAAAGUCUUGUGCUGCUCCAAAUUAGGUCACCUAAAGGAAUCCAGCAUCUGUGCAAGAGCCCAGGUCACAGAGCUAUUUGUGGAAUGGAUACUGCAGUUUUUGGCAGCUGAAGGAGAGCUGAAAUAAUGCAGUGCCUGCUGACUCCUGGCAAAGCCUCCAAGCAGGGACUUCAAGGAGGGUGUGAAGGUUUUUCUGAGCCCAUCAGAAAAGACGUCUCUGAAAACAGCACCCAUCUCUCUGCAGAAGAGUAGAAACAAUCACCCAAGAUAUGUCCAGGGGCCUUUUUCCCAUGAGAGUUCAAUGUCUUGCUGUUACAAGUUUUUCUGAAUCUGAUCCCUAGCCAACCACUCUGUAUCCAUCUCUAAUUCCAGGUCUGAGUGCUCCUCCUUAGCACUUUUGAAAGAAAUCCAGCACUGGACAGGACCUGGGAGUCCAAAUCCCACAGGAAAGCUCAGAAGCUUUGAAGCUUGGUCACCCCUGCUAUAAGUCAGCUUCACACUGUCUCCCCAUGCUUGACUAAGUCAGUAGUUCUCAGCAGUUCAGAAACCCAGCAGAUUUCUUGCAUUUGCUCCUAGCUUUGCUUUCUGCUCAGCAGCUGAACAGUCAAAUGACAUUUACUAUGUGAGCUCUGAAUGAAAGUUACAUUUCCCUUUUUUGCCUUCUGUAGUUUGAACCUCCAGCAAACUUCCCCCUGCAGCUCUGGAAAAUACAAACAGUCUUUUCUCUGUUAGAAGGCUGACAUGACCAAGCUUUAAUUUGUGAUUUUCUAGGGAAGAACUGUAUCAUCCCUCAAUGAGAAGAUCUGUAUGUUGGAGUGGCAGAAGCAGGUCAGUCUCAAGCAGCAUCUAAUUAGGCAGAUUUCUGUUGUUUAGCCAAGCAGAUGUAUCCAUCACUGAACUUUAGAUGCUGCAUCAUCCACUUAUAGCAGCUUCCAGCUCCUUAAAAAUGCAGAAAUAGGAAACUUCCUUUGCUUCUUGGCUGGUACUUUGACCCAUGCAGCAGCAAUGACUUCCAAGGUAUCAGUGAGAAAAUUAAUCAAGUAGCUGGGAAUGAGCUCAGUGUUUUCCCACCUUUGGGAUCUGUGUUUAAAGCAUUUCCUAACAAAAGGAAAGCAAUAAAAACAUUUGAUUCUUUCCCCA
rnacentral:lncRNA from 1 species